ensembl:lncRNA
CAUACACACAGCUACAUUACCACAUACACACAGCUACAUUACAUUACCACAUACACACAGCUACAUUACUACAUACACACAGCUAAAUUACAUUACCACAUAAACACAGCUAAAUUACAUUACUUCAUACACACAGCUACAUUACCACAUACACACAGCUAUAUUACAUUACUACAUACACACAGCUACAUUACAUUACCACAUACACACCGCUACAUUAUAUUACUACAUACACACAGCUAUAUUACAUUACUACAUACACACAGCUACAUUACAUUACCACAUACACACAGUUACAUUACAUUACUACAUACAACCAGCUACACUACUACAUACACACAGCUACAUUACUACAUACGCACAGCUACAUUACAUUACUACAUACGCACAGCUACAUUACUACAUACACACAGCUACAUUACUACAUACACACAGCUACAUUACAUUACUACAUACACACAGCUACAUUACAUUACUACAUACACACAGCUACAUUACAUUACUACAUACACACAGCUACAUUACUACAUACACACAGCUACAUUACAUUACUACAUACACACAGCUACAUUACAUUACUACAUACACACAGCUACAUUACAUUACCACAUACACACAGUUACAUUACUACAUACACACAGCUACAUUACUACAUACACACAGCUACAUUACGUUACUACAUACACACAGCUACAUUACUACAUACACACAGCUACAUUACAUUACAUUACCACAUACACACAGCUACAUUACAUUACUACAUACACACAGCUACAUUACAUUACUACAUACACACAGUUACAUUACAUUACCACAAACACACAGUUACAUUACUACAUACACACAGCUACAUUACAUUACUACAUACACACAGCUACAUUACAUUACUACAUACACACAGCUACAUUACAUUACUACAUACACACAGCUACAUUACUACAUACACACAGCUACAUUACUACAUACACACAGCUACAUUACUACAUACACACAGCUACAUUACAUUACUACAUACACACAGAUACAGUACCUAUCAAAAAUUUGGACACCUACUCAUUCUGGGGUUUUUCUUUAUUUUUACUAUUUUCUACAUUUUAGAUUAAUAGUGAAGAUGUCAAAACUAUGAAAUAACACAUACGGAAACAUAAAGGUGUUAAACAAAUCAAUAUACAUUUUUUUAUUUGAGAUUCUUCAAAGCAGCAUUUGCCUUGAUGACUACUUUUCACACUCUUGGCAUUCUCUCAACCAGCUUCAAGAGGUAGCUACCUGGAAUGCGUUUCAGUUAACAGGUGUGCCUUGUUUAAAGUUAAUUUGUGGAAUUUCUUACCUUUUUAGUUAUUACAUGAUUCCAUAUGUGUUAUUUCCUGAUUUUGAUGUCUUCACUAUUAUUCUACAAUGUAAAAAUAAAGGAAAACCAUUGAAUGAGUAAGUGUGUCCAAACUUUUGACUGGUACUCUACAUUACAUUACUACAUACACACAGCUACAUUAC